rnacentral:rRNA from 1 species
GUGGGGAAUAUUGGACAAUGGGCGAAAGCCUGAUCCAGCCAUGCCGCGUGUGUGAAGAAGGUCUUCGGAUUGUAAAGCACUUUAAGUUGGGAGGAAGGGCAUUAACCUAAUACGUUAGUGUUUUGACGUUACCAACAGAAUAAGCACCGGCUAACUUCGUGCCAGCAGCCGCGGUAAUACGAAGGGUGCAAGCGUUAAUCGGAAUUACUGGGCGUAAAGCGCGCGUAGGUGGUUCAGCAAGUUGAAGGUGAAAUCCCCGGGCUCAACCUGGGAACUGCCUCCAAAACUACUGAGCUAGAGUACGGUAGAGGGUAGUGGAAUUUCCUGUGUAGCGGUGAAAUGCGUAGAUAUAGGAAGGAACACCAGUGGCGAAGGCGACUACCUGGACUGAUACUGACACUGAGGUGCGAAAGCGUGGGGAGCAAACAGGAUUAGAUACCCUAGUAGUCC